rnacentral:misc_RNA from 1 species
GCCAGCAGCUCCUCCGGGAGUCUCCUUUAAUUUCGGAAAGAAGGUGGACAGCUCUGUGCUCGGGGCGCUGUCGUCAGGUGGAGCGCCGUCGUUCUCCUUCUCCUCUUCGUCUUCUUCUUCUGCUGUGUUUGGCUCAGCCGUCAGUAGCGUCAGUCCUGUGGUCAACUCGGACAGCAACAGCCAGACUGCAGAUGAGAACGGGGAGGACUCUGAGGAGCCGCCGG